rnacentral:rRNA from 1 species
AUCCUGGCUCAGGAUGAACGCUGGCGGCGUGCUUAACACAUGCAAGUCGAACGAAGCACUUUGAUCGAUUUCUUCGGAUUUCAAGAUACCGAGUGGCGGACGGGUGAGUAACGCGUGGGUAACCUGCCUCAUACAGGGGGAUAACGGUUAGAAAUGACUGCUAAUACCGCAUAAGCGCACAGUACCACAUGGUACGGUGUGAAAAACUCCGGUGGUAUAAGAUGGACCCGCGUCUGAUUAGCUAGUUGGUGAGAUAACAGCCCACCAAGGCGACGAUCAGUAGCCGACCUGAGAGGGUGACCGGCCACAUUGGGACUGAGACACGGCCCAGACUCCUACGGGAGGCAGCAGUGGGGAAUAUUGCACAAUGGAGGAAACUCUGAUGCAGCGACGCCGCGUGAGUGAAGAAGUAAUUCGUUAUGUAAAGCUCUAUCAGCAGGGAAGAUAGUGACGGUACCUGACUAAGAAGCUCCGGCUAAAUACGUG